rnacentral:misc_RNA from 1 species
AACUCUCAACCCCCCUAUUUUGUAAUGAGAUGGGUGUGGGAUUGGAUUAUGGUUGUCUGUCGGCGUAAUUGCCGGCUCAACUGAAAUACACGAGCAACCCUAUUGAAAUAAACGGUUUGACUUGGCGUAAUAAUUAUUUCGCUAAGGACGUUUUCUUCAAAUAUAAGAGGUGCUUCUAAUUCGCUUCUAAUAGCAUUUAAGCUU